rnacentral:rRNA from 1 species
GACGAACGCUGGCGGCGUGCUUAACACAUGCAAGUCGAACGGAGCGAAAGAAAGCUUGCUUUUAUAAGCUUAGUGGCAAACGGGUGAGUAACACGUAGGCAACCUGCCGACAGGAUGGGGACAACAUUCCGAAAGGAAUGCUAAUACCGAAUGAAGUGCAGGGGAGGCAUCUCCCCUGCAUGAAAGAUGGCCUCUAUAUAUAAGCUAUCACCUGUCGAUGGGCCUGCGUCUGAUUAGCUGGUAGGUGAGGUAACGGCUCACCUAGGCGACGAUCAGUAGCCGGUCUGAGAGGAUGAACGGCCACAUUGGGACUGAGACACGGCCCAGACUCCUACGGGAGGCAGCAGUGGGGAAUCUUCCGCAAUGGGCGCAAGCCUGACGGAGCAACGCCGCGUGAGUGAAGAAGGUCUUCGGAUCGUAAAGCUCUGUUGAUGGGGACGAACGUGCCUAAUGCGAAUAGUUUAGGCAAUGACGUACCCAUCGAGGAGCCAC